rnacentral:rRNA from 1 species
AUUGAACGCUGGCGGCAGGCCUAACACAUGCAAGUCGAGCGGAUGAAGGGAGCUUGCUCCUGGAUUCAGCGGCGGACGGGUGAGUAAUGCCUAGGAAUCUGCCUGGUAGUGGGGGAUAACGUCCGGAAACGGGCGCUAAUACCGCAUACGUCCUGAGGGAGAAAGUGGGGGAUCUUCGGACCUCACGCUAUCAGAUGAGCCUAGGUCGGAUUAGCUAGUUGGUGGGGUAAAGGCCUACCAAGGCGACGAUCCGUAACUGGUCUGAGAGGAUGAUCGGGCACACUGGAACCGAGACACGGUCCAGACUCCUACGGAAGGGAGCAGUGGGGAAUAUUGGACAGUGAGCGAAAGCCUGAUACAGCCAUGGCGCGUGUGUGAAGAAGGUCUUAGGAUUGUAAAGCACUUUAAGUAGGGGGGAAGGUCAGUAAGUUGAUACCUUGCUCUUUUGACGUUACCAACAGAAUAAGCACCGGCUAACUUCGUG